CAAAGAAAAUAGUCAGAAUUUGGAAAUCUAAGUCUUCAGUAAAGAAAAUAAAGAGGGCAGUCACGGUGGCGCAGCGGAAGAGUUGCUGCCUUACAGCGAAAGCAGCGCCGGAAACCCGGGUUCGA